CCAUUGCCUUUUUUAUCGAUGACAUUUUAUUUAUUUUAGAUGUUAUCUUAAGCAAGUUUUUGAAAGAUGCCAAAGCAGAAGUAGUGUUAAACACAAUUUUAGUUCACAUGGGGCUCAUCAAGAGUGAAGAGAAGAUCAAACCAGUUCCUGAUUUAUCAGGGAUUCUUCUUACACUUGCUUAUGUCAGCAAACAAGACUAUUUUCCUGCUAAUUUGAAGAACAUUUUAACUGUUUUUAUUGCAAGACCUCACCCAGCCUUAAAUCGCUGUGUAGAAGCUCGAGAUAAACUUCUUCGUGCCCUUUACACCUGAAAA